AUUUUGUAAAUAGAGCAUAUUUGUAAAUAGAGCAUGGCAUGGAAGGGAGGCUUUUGCUCGCAUCGAUAAGGGAAGGGAGAGGGAGGCAGAGCGUGGGCAGGGCAAGACGGCAACAUCCCUGAGCCCAGAGUCGUCACUACCUCAGAUCCAGUCACCGCCCCAGGUCAGAUCUAGUAGCGGCCAGGCAUGUUCGUGUGUUUUCGACGAAGAAACAUUUUCAAAAUGGGGAAACGCUGGCUCUCCUUAUUUUCGUGCAUCGCAGUAACUCACUCAUGGAAAAGCAAAAGAGGUUCUAAUGUAAAGAAAUCUGCAGGUAUAUAUCUUUUAUAUAAGAAGAACAAAAAGUGCAGAAAUUAAUUUAAUUUUUGAUCCUGAGAUUGAAAAGAUAGCUAAAGCUUUGAGAGCAGAGUCUAAAAGAAGAAAAACUGAACUCAGAAUUCAAAGACAGCAAGAGCAACAUUAAGAGCAACAAGUGAUAGAAGCUAUGGCAAACAACAAUAACAGAUUAAUUAAUGAUCAUGCUUUUCCUAGUUUUGAAGAUUUUAUACCAAGUAUUACAAGGCCUAGAGUGGAAGCGAAUAAUUUUGAGUUCAAGCCUUCACUUUGUCAAAUGGUUCAACAAUCACAGUUUGGGGGAGGUCCGACUGAGAGUCCACAUGUGUAUCUCGCACAUUUUCUUGAAAUUAGUGACAUGUUGAAGAUAAAUGGAAUAUUAGAUGAUACCAUCCGGUUGAGAUUAUUUCCUUUUUCUUUGAAGGAUUGUGCUAGGUACUGGUUACAUUCAUUAUCGCUGGGUUUAAUAACUACUUGGGAUGAGUUAUCACAAGCUUUCUUGGCUCAAUACUUUCCUCCUAGCAAGACUACAAAAUUGAGAAAUGAAUUAACUUCUUUCAGACCAAGGGAUGAUGAGAGUCUCUAUGAAGCUUGGGAGAGAUACAAGGAACUUCAAAGUAGAUGUCCACAUCAUGGAAUCCCUAAAUGGAUGCUAGUCCAGCAUUUCUACAAUGGUGUUUCUCUAACAAUUAGAAGUAUAAUUGAUGCAUCUUCAGGAGGGGAUCUUAUGGAGAAGUCAGAAGAUGAAGCUUAUUCAGCAUUAGAUAAAAUUGCUCACAACAAUUAUCAAUGGAGUUGUAAAAGGAAUGAAAUGAAAAAGCCAUCAGCUGGUGUAUAUAAGUUAGAUGCCAUGAGUAUAUUCAAUGCCAAAUUUGAUGCUUUGACGAGAAAAAUAGAUAAGUUAAGCAUGAAGGUUGAUUCUUCAUUUAGAGGAUCUAGUCAUACAGAAGAUGUUGCUCCAGGAAAUAUACAUUGUGUCAAUGAUUUUCCUUCUUAUGGGCAAGAGUUUGGAAAUGUGCAAGUUGAUUUUGUUAGAAAUUAUAAUCAGAAACCAGUUGGUAAUCCUUUUUCUACUACAUAAAAUCCAGCAUUGAGAAAUCACCCUAACUUUUCUUGGGGAGGUCGACAGGGACAACAAUAGCAGAAUUAUUAACAACCUCCUAAUUUCCAGCAACAAUAGUAGAAUUUUCAGCUAAACAGAGUACCACCUGGAUUUUCACCACAAAGGAAUCAAAAUGCACCUGUUCCAUAACCACCAGUUCAGUCUUCAGACCAAGAUUCAAUUUUGAAGUCUAUGAUAGAAAAUUUCUUAGCUGCUCAAAAAAAUAAGGAGAAAUGAUUCAACAAUUAACUUCAAGGAUAUAUCAGUUUGCCACUCAUAAUAGGAUGUUGGAAAAUCAAAUAGCUCAACAAACAAGUUUUUCUAGCAAAGCACAAGGGAAACUUCCAAGUCAACCAGAGAAUCCUAGAGAACAUUGCAAGGCAGUGAUCCUAAGGAGUGGGAAAAUUAUGGGAGAAGGAAAGAAAGAUGAGGUAGAAGAGGAAAAAAAGAAAGAAGAUGAAGACAAGAAUGAAUCUACUUCAAAUCAUGAUGAAGUCAAUGAGGAAGCAAAUAAGAAGAAGGAAGUUGAAAAAGAAGAAGAGGAAAAGUAUGUGUCUCCACCACCAUACAAGCCACCAUUACCAUAUCCUCAGAGAUUUCAGAAAGCAAAGCUAGAUAAGCAGUUUGGGAAAUUUUUGAAAGUUUUGAAGAAGUUAUAUAUCAACAUUCCAUUUACAGAUGCAAUUUCUCAAAUGCCCUCAUAUGAUAAGUUCCUGAAAGAAAUUUUGUCAAAUAAGAGGAGACUAGAAGAUUAUGAAACUGUGGCAUUAACAGAGGAGUGUAGUGCUCUCUUGUAGAAUAAGCUCCCACCGAAAUUGAAGGAUCCAAGAAGUUUCUCUAUUCCAUGUCACAUUGGAAAGACAAGUAUUGAAAAGGUAUUGUGUGAUCUUGGAGCUAGUGUAAGUUUGAUGCCACUCUCCAUUUGUGAAAAGUUGAAGGUUGGAAAAUUGAAGGCAACAACUAUUUCUUUGCAACUAGCUGAUAGAUCUAUCAAAUAUCCAGUAGGAAUUUUGGAGAAUAUGCCCUUAAAAGUUGGGAAAUUUUUCAUUCCUAUAGAUUUUGUGGUUCUUGAAAUUGAAGAGGAUAUUCACAUACCUAUCAUUUUAGAAAGGCCAUUUUUAGCCACAGCAGGGGCUAUAAUUAAUGUGAAGAAUGGUAGAUUGAUAUUAAAAGUUAGAGAAGAGGAGGUGAAUUUUAAUUUGAAUCAAGCUUUGAAGAAACAUCAUGAAGUUGACCCUUGUUUAAGGAUGGAUGUUAUUGAUGAGAUUGUGGAAGAAGAAUUUAGGAAAAGAUAUCCUAAGGACCCUUUGGAGAAUUAUUUGGUACAUAGUAGAAUAACAAAGGAUGAAAAUCCUGAAGUUACAGCUUUUGCUGAAAUUUUGAAGGCUACUCAAGAAGUUGUAGGAGAUCAAGUUUUGCAAGUUGAAGAGUUGAAACAUAAAGUUGCACAACCACCUUUGCUAGAUGAGAAGGAAGCACCACAAGUAGACCUCAAGCCACUUCCAUCUAUAUUAAGAUUAAUGGUGAUUUUUAAGCAAAUGUGCAUGCUGAAUUGAAGGAAUAAGUGUUUGGGAAGUUGCUGAACCUUAUAUUUGUUUUCUAUGGUGCAUGUUGUUUUUGACAAAGUUAAAUCUAAACUAAUUUGAGUUUUAUGUCUGAUUACAGCAACAUGGUGGAGUGGAAGACCAUUUUUGUUCCAAAAUUUUGAGGAAAUUGAUACUGAAGGUAAAGCCUAGCGGAUAUUAAACUAGGAUUUUAGAGUUCUGAUCUGCAAAGUGUUCAAGGUUGUCACCUCCUUAACAAUGCAUGUAGAUAGGGCUCACAUUAGUCAUUUUAUGUAUUUUGUAUAGUAUAAAUAUUUCUUAUAGUGUAAUGUAAACUAAAAAAUUGUAAUGAAUAUUUAUAUGUUGUAAAUUAAUAAAUUGGUUAGUUCAUAUGUGAUUAAAUUAUAUAUAAUGUA